AAGAGAGCAUCUACAUCCUCAGACUCAUCUUCAUCUCAUCAAAGGUCAUAAAAAGAAAAGAAAAAGAAGCAGUAAGAAGAAACACAAAAAAGAAAAGAAGAAGAAGAGAAAAGAGGAAAAGAUAAGACAAGUAAAAAGAUGGUGACAGCACAGGUUAAUUCUCUGGCAGAAACAUCUGUUAAACCAAAAUCGUUCAGCAGCGUCAUGCUCGACUCCCUUGGCCCUGCGCCUCGAGUACUGAAGCCUAUGACUAAGGAAGAGUGGGAGUAAACGCAAAGUGUCAUGCAGAUAUGUUAUGACGAAGAGGACAGGUAGAAAGAGGGGGUUCCAUGAAAACAGUGUGAAAAAUAAAAGCAACUGUCUAUAUGCUCAUGUUUUAAUAGUAAUGAUGAAGAUUUCCUAUAAAGCACCAUUUCCUAAUGGUUUACAGCACUUUACACAAAAUAUCACACACUAUGAUCAGAAGAACAGCAUAACAAGAUUCUUCAUUAUCUAAACAACGUACUCUCAGUCAAAAGCACAAUAGAAUAAGUGGGUCUUCGGCUGCUGCUUAAAUGCUGAAGAUUUAUAUGCACAGUCUCAGCUGACAGGGAAGGGAUUCCAAAUAGAUGGUGCAACAGAGACUCAGAACAUAUGCCCACCAAAAUAUGUUUCAAUUUAUCAUCUCAGUUCCCUCUAAAGAAGCACCAUUACCAUGACACAUUUUUCUUGGUCCCUGUUAAAUUGUGAAUGUGCAUGUUUGAGGAUACACAUGCAUGUGUAUUUUGACCACUUGCAAACUCCUUGAACCAAGCAUUUUUUCUCCAGAACAUGCAUAUUUUUGUACAAGGUGCAAACUCUCUAUGAUGAUGUAAUUGAGUGAACAUGGGAAUCAGAGAUAUUAAAAAUUUUUUAUAGUGAUGAACAUUGUAGUGUUAA